rnacentral:rRNA from 1 species
GAGACUCUGUGCGCGUGCAUAUCAAUAAGCGGAGGAAAAGAAACUAACAAGGAUUCCCUUAGUAACGGCGAGUGAAGCGGGAAGAGCUCAAAUUUGAAAUCUUCAAGGUUCUACCUUGACGAAUUGUAGUUUAUAGAAGUGUUUUCUGUUAGUAGAGUGGCAAAAGUUCUUUGGAAUAGGGCAUCAUAGAGGGUGAGAAUCCCGUAUUUGGUCAUUCCUUUCUAGCUUUGUGAUACACUUUCAACGAGUCGGAUUGUUUGGGAAUGCAGUCCAAAAUGGGUGGUAAAUUUCAUCUAAAGCUAAAUAUUGGCGAGAGACCGAUAGCGAACAAGUACCGUGAGGGAAAGACGAAAAGAACUUUGAAAAGAGAGUUAAACAGUACGUGAAAUUGUCAAAAGGGAAGCGUUUGACACCAGUGUUGUUUUUCCGAAAAUCAAUUACGAAUGUUUUAUUUUUGAGGAGUUAUGACUUCAUCGGCUUGCUCCUUUCUUUACUGAAACUUUCUUAAUGCACUUUUCGGUUAACAAGUCAACAUCAAUUUCUUUUGUUGUAAAAGGGUAUGAGGAAGGUGGCUUUCUUUUCGGAGAAAGUGUUUAUAGCCUUGUGCCUCUGCAAUCGGAGAGAUUGAGGUCUGCAGCGUAGAUCCUUCGGGGUUAGAUACGUUUGUGCUAAGUUAUAGCUUUUCAUAGACAACUUGUUGACUAUGUUUAGUCUUGUAGCUUACUCGCUUACGCUAUUUUACCUACGCUUAGGAUGUUGACGAUCAGCUGAGCGCG